rnacentral:rRNA from 1 species
UACGUAGGGUGCAAGCGUUGUCCGGAAUUAUUGGGCGUAAAGGGCUCGUAGGCGGCCAACUAAGUCGGACGUGAAAUCCCCAGGCUCAACCUGGGAACUGCGUCCGAUACUGGAUGGCUUGAAUUCGGGAGAGGGAUGCAGAAUUCCAGGUGUAGCGGUGAAAUGCGUAGAUAUCUGGAGGAAUACCGGUGGCGAAGGCGGCAUCCUGGACCGACAUUGACGCUGAUGAGCGAAAGCUAGGGGAGCAAACGGG